CCCUUAGAUGUUCUGGGCCGCACGCGCGCUACACUGACGAAUGCAACGAGCUUAUAACCUUGGCCGAAAGGUCUGGGUAAUCUCCAAAUUUCGUCGUGAUGGGGAUAGAUUAUUGCAAUUAUUAAUCUUCAACGAGAAAUUCCUAGUAAGCGCGAGUCAUCAGCUCGUGCUGAUUACGUCCCUGCCCUUUGUACACACCGCCCGUCGCUCCUACCGAUUGAAUGGUCCGGUGAAGCGUUCGGACCGUGGCCUUUGGACGGUUCGCCGUCUGUUGGCUGCGGGAAGUUCGUUAAACCUUAUCAUUUAGAGGAAGGAGAAGUCGUAACA
rnacentral:rRNA from 1 species